rnacentral:rRNA from 1 species
UACGAAGGGGGCUAGCGUUGCUCGGAAUCACUGGGCGUAAAGCGCACGUAGGCGGAUUGCUAAGUCAGGGGUGAAAUCCUGGAGCUCAACUCCAGAACUGCCUUUGAUACUGAAGAUCUUGAGUCCGGGAGAGGUGAGUGGAACUGCGAGUGUAGAGGUGAAAUUCGUAGAUAUUCGCAAGAACACCAGUGGCGAAGGCGGCUCACUGGCCCGGUACUGACGCUGAGGCACGAAAGCGUGGGGAGCAAACAGG